rnacentral:lncRNA from 1 species
CUCUCUCUCUCUCAUUGCAAUAUUUCAGAUAAUCGACGUUAUAUUUCACAUAUACAUACAAACUUCCAAACGUGCAACAUAAUUCUCAAGGCCUAGCGAUAGGAUGGAUAAACCAUUGGAAUUAUGUCAAAACGUCAAGCCUAAAGAUAUUUGAUUAUAAAUAUUUCGUUUUUUCAAUGAUAAAUAAAAGAUGAUUUUUUCGAGGCCCUUUAAAUGAUUGCCACCAAUGGAAUUUGCUAAAUGCGAUAAAACAACAAAAUUCGACAAUAUAUUGUGCAUCAAUUGAUUUAUUACACCGAUUCGAAAAAUAAAAGAAAAUAAAAAACACCAUCAGCAUCACCAUCACCGUUUAUAAAUCAAUUUAUUUCUUCUUUCAUUGAAUAUUUAUGGCAUCGAUGAUGUAAUAAGUUUACAUAACUUAUUAAACAUUUCGGCCUCGUAAUUCGAGCCGAGGAAGGAAAAAAGAAAAAGUGGAAAAGGGAAAAAUAAUAAUUCGAAGAAAAAUGAAGAAAAAUAAGCGAGAUAGAAAGAUAAUAAAAUAAAUAAUAAGAAAUAAAACAUGGGUGCGAUUACCGCAGAGUCAGCUUCAAGUGGGCAGCGGCACUUCGGGGGAUUCCCCUUUUUCGAUCAUCGACAACGAGGAUUGCGGGGUGUCGGAUUUCCUGAACGCAGGUACAGGUACGCCGAAUGUCAGCCACCGCGAAAGAGAAACUUUCGCGUCUGCUCGAUUGAAAUUAUUGCCGACGUAUCUCCUUGAACGAACGAACGAAGAAAUGAAACAACCAACCAACCAACCAACCAACCAACCAACCAAUGAAGGAAGGAAUAAACGAAGGAUAUGGUAAAGUAAGGUUGGAAUAAUCGAUGAUAAAAAUGAACGGACGCCCGGAAGAAUCGAACGCACGCCAUUGGAUAUUUGUACUUGAUGGAUCCUCAGAUUUAUCGCGAGGUUAUCGAGCGUUAAUGCGAGUUUCGUGUAGCUCGAGUCUCGCCUCAAGAUGAUUUACAAUCUUAAUAGGACAUGACGUUGAAAUUUCGCUCGAUCAUUCCACCCUCGUCCUCACUUCUUUCCUUUUCCGAGCGUAACCGAGUCGACGUGAUAAUUGAAUCGCAUCAUUGUGUCGUCGAUUAAGAAUAAAAAGAAGAAGAAGAAGAAGAAGAAGAGGA